GUGAAUCAUCGAAUUUUUGAACGCAAAUUGCACUCUCUUCGGAGAGUAUGUCUGUUUGAGGGCUAGCCUAAAAAAAAUAGAUAUUGUUGCUGUUUUAUGGUGGCGUUCGUCGGAAAUUGGGUAAUCUUAUUUAUUUUGGUUUUAAGUGACUUAAAAUUCUUUUUUUGGUUCUAUGAGAGUUUCUAAGAUUUAUUUAUUUACACGUUUCAGGUAUUGAUUUUUAUUUGACGUGACGAUCAUAUUGGAUCGCGU
rnacentral:misc_RNA from 1 species